CAGGAAGAGAACAUGUAAACGUCACUUGGACCCGACCGGGAUAGAAAGAAGAAUUCGACCCAUAUUGGAGAGGGAAACAGAAGUUAAAGAAAAUCCUAGUGUGAGCUGGAGAAUAAAUUUAGAAAAUUAAGAUCAAAAGUAAAGAGAAGGUGAAGAUAUAAGUUCAAGUAGGAAAGAAUAGUGAGCAGAGAUAAUAAGGAAUCAUCACAGUCUAAAGGUCGCGCAUGGCUACGCACCAGACUAGGAGGAAUUUAAGAGAACACCUAAAUUCUUUGAUCUGCUAACAAGCUGAUACAAAGAGUGUUCUCUCGUGACAAAACCAACAAAAUCAAAGAAUUUAGAGGAUCGAACAUAACCUCAAAGAAUGGAGGAAGAUUUAUCGCAUAGAAACUGCAUGCUAUGUCAAGAACCGGAUCAUCUUGAUGACAUGGUGCAGUGCGAUACAUGCCAGUUGUGGGCACACUAUUGUUGCGCCGGGGUGACAUCUAAUAUUGAACACGAAGAUUGGAAUUGUGUUAAGUGUUCCAACCAGUUGCGCUUACCGAAAAAUGCUACGAAGUCCACGAAAAAAUCCGGUGGAUCGAAAAAGACGGGAGCCAAAAGUGAAGUGGGAUCUAUCCGUAGCUCAGUAUCGGUGCUCGAAUCAUCAUUUCAACAGUUGGAGGAAGAGCAAGACGCAAUGGAGAAAGGUUUAGAAGCGGAUCGCUUGAUUCGAGAGAAACGUUUGGAAAUGAGCCGUGCAAUUCAAGAGAAACGAAUGCGACAAGAGAAAGAGUUUCGUGAAAG